GCUGUCUCCACCCGAGACUCAGUGAAAUUGAAAUCGCUGUGAAGAUGCAGCGUUCCCGCGGCAAGACGGAAAGACCCCGUGAACCUUUACUAUAGCUUCACGCUGAACGUUGAGUUCGUCUGUGUAGGAUAGGUGGGAGGCGUUGAAACCAGGGCGCUAGUUCUGGUGGAGCCAUCCUUGAAAUACCACCCUGAUGUGCUUGACGUUCUAACCUAGGCCCGUAAUCCGGGUCGGGGACCGCGUGUGGUGGGUAGUUUGACUGGGGCGGUCUCCUCCCAAAGCGUAACGGAGGAGCACGAAGGUGCGCUCAGCGCGGUCGGACAUCGCGCAGUGUGUGUAAGAGCAAAAGCGCGCUUGACUGCGAGAUCGACGGAUCAAGCAGGUGCGAAAGCAGGUUCUAGUGAUCCGGUGGUUCUGUAUGGAAGGGCCAUCGCUCAACGGAUAAAAGGUACUCCGGGGAUAACAGGCUGAUUCCGCCCAAGAGUUCAUAUCGACGGCGGAGUUUGGCACCUCGAUGUCGGCUCAUCACAUCCUGGGGCUGUAGCCGGUCCCAAGGGUAUGGCUGUUCGCCAUUUAAAGUGGUACGCGAGCUGGGUUCAGAACGUCGUGAGACAGUUCGGUCCCUAUCUGUCGUGGGCGUUGGAGAUUUGAGAGGGGCUGCUCCUAGUACGAGAGGACCGGAGUGGACGAUCCCCUGGUGUUCCGGUUGUCACGCCAGUGGCACAGCCGGGUAGCUACGAUCGGAAGCGAUAACCGCUGAAAGCAUCUAAGCGGGAAGCGCGCCUCAAGAUGAGAUCUCCCGGGGCCUUGAGCCCCCUGAAGGACCCAUGAAGACUACAUGGUUGAUAGGUCGGGUGUGUAUAGCAGUAAUGCCGAGCUAACCGAUACUAAUGAUCCGUGCGGCUUGAUCAU
rnacentral:rRNA from 1 species